ensembl:lncRNA
AUUUGGGAUUGUUUCUAUUAUAAAUCUGGUAAUUUGGCUCUUUUAGAAAAUGGUAACAGCUUUAAAUUAUCCAAAUGAACUGCAUAACAACAUUUUUCAAGAUAAUUGUUGCACUAAUCUUUCUAUUUGCUAGAUAGAGCAUACUUGAUGUACUUGAUGUUCAACAAAAUGCAACUUUAAUGAAUUAAUGAAUGGAUCCCCAAAAUGUUUUUGGAGCCAUAACUUACCAUACAUACAAUAACGGAAUAAUAUAAUAGGAACCUCUGCCAUCAGAAGAAAAACAGUGAAAACACAAGAGAAGGGAGUUAAGAAGCUCUGGAUACAAGAUUUUUGUUAACCCUGCUGGACAAAGGCUGCUGUCCAUAAGUGACCACUUG